UACAGAGGGUGCAAGCGUUAAUCGGAAUUACUGGGCGUAAAGCGUGCGUAGACGGUUAUUUAAGUCAGGUGUGAAAGCCCCCGGCUCAACUGGGGAGGGUCACGCGAUACUGAUCGACUCGAAGGCAGGAGAGGGUAGUGGAAUUCCCGGUGUAGUGGUGAAAUGCGUAGAUAUCGGGAGGAACACCAGUGGCGAAGGCGGGUCUCUGGGCAGUAACUGACGCUGAGGAGCGAAAGCGUGGGGA
rnacentral:rRNA from 1 species